GGCCACUUACUAUCAUUCUCAGAGGUGAAAUAGUACACUUGUCUAGACUCACAAUAACCGAAAACUUAGCUUCACUCGUUGUAAUCUUAGGAGCGAUUGUUUAGUCUCUAAUCGCUCCUGUAAGGCCGACGAGACAUCAAUUUAAUGGCACUUUUUUAGACUAUUGAAGAAUAGCGAGUAAUUUUCUACAAUUUAAAAAUAUGUGCGCACAUUACCAUCCCCCAAUGAAGCAAUAAGUUCUCGAUAGACAGUGUAUUCUCUGAGAAGGGUUUGUGGUCCAUAUUGAUGUCUUCUUUAGUAAACUGAUGUUU